CUACGGGGGGUGCAAGCGUUACUCGGAAUCACUGGGCGUAAAGCGCGCGCAGGCGGCUAUUUAAGUUGGAUGUGAAAGCCUACGGCUCAACCGUAGAACUGCAUCCAAAACUAUUUAGCUAGAGUGUGGGAGAGGAAGAUGGAAUUAGUUGUGUAGGGGUAAAAUCCGUAGAGAUAACUAGGAAUACCAAAAGCGAAGGCAAUCUUCUGGAACACUACUGACGCUGAGGCGCGAAAGCGUGGGGAGCAAACAGGAUUAGAAACCCUAGUAGUCC
rnacentral:rRNA from 1 species